rnacentral:lncRNA from 1 species
CGAGGUAGAAUUUAUGUAGCAAGUUAAGUGAUCCUGAUUACAUAGGUGAUGAGCUAUUAUAAUUAUGAUAAGCCGUCAGAUUCGUCGUUAAAGAAAUCAGAUCUGAGGUAUGUUCUGUUAAGGCUGGCAACAUUUGUGACAGGCUAUCACACUUGUGAUAAGCCAUCAGAAGUGUCAUCAUAAAACCAAAAUAAGCUAUCAAACAAUUCUGGGCCCAGUUAAAGGAACCCGACCCGGC